CCUACGGGAGACAGCAGUGGGGAAUAUUGCGCAAUGGGCGAAAGCCUGACGCAGCGACGCCGCGUGAGGGAUGAAGGUCUUCGGAUCGUAAACCUCUGUCAGCAGGGAAGAACGGUCACUGUGCUAAUCAGCAGUGAAUUGACGGUACCUGCAAAGGAAGCACCGGCUAACUCCGUGCCAGCCGCCGCGGUAAUACGGAGGGUGCGAGCGUUAAUCGGAAUUACUGGGCGUAAAGCGCGCGUAGGCGGUAUGUCAAGUCAAGGGUGAAAUCCCCGCGCUCAACGUGGGAACUGCCUUUGAAACUGGCAAACUGGAGUGUGUGAGAGGAUAGUGGAAUUCCAGGUGUAGGAGUGAAAUCCGUAGAUAUCUGGAGGAACAUCAGUGGCGAAGGCGACUAUCUGGCACAUAACUGACGCUGAGGAGCGAGAGCGUGGGUAGCAAACAGGAUUAGAUACCCCGGUAGUC
rnacentral:rRNA from 1 species